UGGGAUUCACCCACAGAGGAGCCGCUCUGCUCAGAGCCAUCCCUGUGCUCCGUGGAGUCUAUGGGGAGUCACCCUGUUACUAGAAUUACUGACUUGACUCAGCUUCCUCUCUACAUUUUCUUGGCUCUGUCCCGGCUGUGAGAUCCAGAGCCAUCUCAUUCAGAGUGAGCUGCUUCACAGCCCUAGGAAGGGAGGAGGGGACGGCCACCCAUUCCUUUGUAUUAUUGCCACCGGUGCUAUAAACACCAAGUGCUAUUGCUCACAAAGACCCAUGCAGGCAAGUUGGGGAGAAACAGAAAACCUAGAUGGAACUGAAAGCAGACAUGGAGACCAGGAUCCAGGAGAAGAGUCAGUCCUGUAUUUAAGAAUUCACUUUAUGAAGCAGUAGCAUUCAGUGUGGUGUUAAAUUAUAACGAAGGCAUGGAGUACCAGAGUGCUUUAUAUUUAGAUUAUAUUUUAAGUCAUGGUGCAUACUUGAGGGGGUUUAUUAAAAAUGAAAGUACUAACUUAAUGUCUACUAAGUUUAAUAAACAAAGAAUUUGGAAGUAA
rnacentral:lncRNA from 1 species